AAAUGGAUAAAACAGAAGUUUAAGGAGAUUUCUGAAGUAGAGGGUAAGAGAGGUAUAGCAGGUGAUAGAUGUAAAAACUUGCAUUCCUAUCAAAAAAUAGAUCAAUGGACAAUGGCUACAUUUUAUGAACCAAGAAAAAGUGUUAUAAAAAUUUUUCGAGCCAGGUGUGGUGGUGCACACCUAUAAUCUCAGCCAUUUGGGAGGCUGAGGCAGGAGGAUUGAGAGUUCAAAGCCAGCCUUAACAAAAUUGAGGUGCUAAGCAACUCAGUGAGACACUGUCUCUAAAUAAAAUAUGAAAUAGGGCUGGGGUUGUGGCUCAGUGGUUGAGUGUCCCUGAGUUCAAUCCCUGGUACCAACAAAAAAGAAAAAAAUAUUUUUGAGAGUGUUGCAAAUCAGUAGCAUCAAAACUAGAAAAUAAUAAGAUAAUUUUUGCUUCUGGAAAACCAGAACUUUUAGUGGGUAUGGAGAUAUUAAAAAAAAAGAUGUAUUUUUAGUAAAACUGAAAACCAUUAAUUUAAAGGAAAGCAAAGACAAGAAUGACACGGUUUGUGCAAACAAACUAUAAGGAACACCUUUUUUUUCUUAUUAAAUCAGAUAUUAAUCUUUUUUGUUGUUUUGUUUUGUUGUUGUUGUUGUUUGGUUUUGGCCUUCAACAAAGGCAUAGACCUCAUCUCAUUAAAAGCAAUGUCUCUAAGUUUUUGAAGGUUUUUGAUCUAGUAAACAGCAUGUUGACUGUGGUUAGUAAUACUGUGUUACUUAGUUGAAAUGUGUUAAAACAAAUUUAUGUGUCUACCUCCCACCCCAACCAUAAUGACAUAUAACUAUGUGUGGUAAAGCAUGUGCCAAUCAAUUUGAUCUUGGUAAUCAUUACAUGAAGCACUCAAAUCAUCAGGUAGUAAACCAUGAAUAUAUGUGAUUUUUGUCGUAUCUCAAAGAAACUAAGAAAAAAAAUGCCAUCAUCUUAUAUUUUGCCAUGAGAGAGUAGAAAGUGGAGAGGAAAGCUUGCUCUCUGUACCUGCAUGAUGUACAAAAGACCCUCUCUGAUCACAAGGAAGAAUCUAUUUUACUGUCACUAAAAAUAACAAAUUAAAAAAUUCAAUAGGAAUAAAAAGGAAAAGAAACAGUCCUUCAAAUAUUCAGUUCUGAUCCUGAGAAAUUAGCAAGUUUACAUGCUCAGGGACAAAACUGAGACAGUAGAGGUUCAGAAAUUUGCAUUCGGUUGGUCUGUUAGUCUCUCAGGAGUCCAGUCCUCAUCAUAAUUCAGAGAACAGAAGAGGAGCAAAGUCUGAAGAAAUAAGAUAAUGGACCUCUUUUCUGAUGCUUCAAACAUGCUAAAAGGAAAUGUAAAUAAUAGAUGAGCGAGGCAUUUUUUCCCAUUUUUUUUUUGUGAAGUUAAGUAGGUAUAAAUACUAAAGUAGAAAAGUAGUAAAAGUUGAAGUUAGAGUAGUUUAAGGAUAACAAAGAAAGAAAACAGCAGGCAUAAUGUGCAUUUUAUUAAUGGUUCUUUCCAAAGCCAUCACACUGCUACUCAGUGUAUGAAGAUGCCUAUUUUGUGACGAUAGUGGUUCAGAAAGUUCAUGUGUCAUUUCUGGACUCAAUAAAUACUAGUGAUGUUUGAUUAAAUGCAAAUUUUAGAAUAAAUACUCCUGUUUUAAGCCAAAUUAAAAAUUCUCAUUUCUCUCUAUAAUUAAUUUGUUGUGAAUCAAUUUGAAAACUUUAGUAAGUAGAAUUAUCAUGCUUUAUUUAAGGUAAAUUAAGGUUCUAUGAUAGUGGAAAUAGAAUGGAUGGCAAAAAUUGGAUAUGUAUGUUUUCAAAGAUUGAAAAGCCAUGUGGAAAUAUUAAACCCCUUUUCAACUGCAAAAUAACGUGUUGAAUUGACUAUCACUGGGAAGCAGAAAUCGAAGGAUAAGGAAUUAGACUUUAUAAUGAGAGGAUAUGGAAUGAAAAAGUGGCAAAAUAGUAAAGAAAAUAGGAACUAUCUAGAAAAUUUUCAGAUGUUACUUUAUUAUUUUAUUCCUUUUUAAGCAUCAUGACCCCUACACUAAUUACAUUCCUCCUAAAUAAUAACCAUUCUGUGUUCUUCAGUUGCUGUCCUUGUUGGAGUGCUUAGACUGGCUAUUGCAUU
rnacentral:lncRNA from 1 species